rnacentral:tRNA from 1 species
GGCUGGGGCUCAGUGGUAGAACACUCGCCUAGCACGUGUGAGGCCCCGAGUUCGAUCCUCAGAACCA